UACGUAGGGCGCAAGCGUUAUCCGGAAUUAUUGGGCGUAAAGAGCUCGUAGGCGGUUUGUCGCGUCUGCCGUGAAAGUCCGGGGCUCAACUCCGGAUCUGCGGUGGGUACGGGCAGACUAGAGUGAUGUAGGGGAGACUGGAAUUCCUGGUGUAGCGGUGAAAUGCGCAGAUAUCAGGAGGAACACCGAUGGCGAAGGCAGGUCUCUGGACAUUUCCUGACGCUGAGGCACGAAAGCCAGGGGAGCAAACGGG
rnacentral:rRNA from 1 species